UGACAGUUACGGCCUGCCGUAGUUGCCGGAUACUGGAGGUCAGCCGGAGGAGGUGUGCGUUGAAAGCAUCUACAGCGAAAUGUCAUGAAAGUACCGAAACGAGAGGAAUUAACUUAACUUCAGGGAAUUGUGUAAAUUAAGUGACUGUUGACUGUAUCACUGUUGGGAGGGAAACUAAAAUUGUUGAAAGGAUAACCAAGCUCCAUAAGAAUCUUGAGAAAAAACCUUCCGUCCGUUUUGUCCUACAAAGAGCCGCCGACAGUUGAUAGUGCGAGGUGCACUGUGCAGGCCUGACAUUGCAUUAGCUACAUAAAAGAUUGCUGUGUCGGACGGCACCUGAAAUAGCAAAUGAUAUUUAUGAAAGACUUUGAUUUGUGAAUAAAUAAGCAGUUGCAAAGAUGAGAAAGGACGUAAGGAUAUUACUCGUCGGGGAGCCUAAAGUGGGGAAGACGUCCCUGAUCAUGUCAUUGGUCAGUGAGGAGUUCCCUGAUGAGGUUCCCCUUCGAGCCGAGGAGAUCACAAUCCCUGCGGACGUCACCCCGGAGAGAGUCCCCACACACAUAGUGGACUACUCAGAAGCAGAGCAGUCUGACGAACAGCUGUAUCAGGAAAUCUCUAAGGCAAACGUUAUCUGCAUAGUGUAUUCUGUCAACAACAAGAAGUCCAUCGAGAAGGUGACAAGCCAUUGGAUUCCCCUGAUAAAUGACAGGACGGACAAGGAUAGCAGGGUUCCUCUGAUCCUGGUGGGGAACAAGUCGGACCUGGUGGAGCACAGCAGUAUGGAGACCAUUCUGCCCAUCAUGAACCAGUACUCCGACAUAGAGACCUGCGUAGAGUGUUCUGCUAAAAACCUGAAGAACAUUUCUGAGCUCUUCUAUUACGCCCAGAAGGCCGUGCUCCACCCUACUGGACCCCUGUACUGCCCAGAGGAGAAGGAGAUGAAGCCGUCUUGCAUCAAGGCUCUCACUCGCAUCUUCAAAGUGUCGGACCUCGACAACGACGGCAUCCUCAACGACAACGAACUCAACUUCUUCCAGAGGACGUGCUUCAACACACCGCUGGCGCCCCAGGCCUUGGAGGACGUGAAGAACGUGGUGAGGAAGAACAUGACGGACGGCGUGAAGGACAACGGGCUCACCCUCAAAGGGUUCCUGUUCCUGCACACGCUCUUUAUCCAGAGGGGCCGCCACGAGACCACCUGGACGGUGCUGCGGAGGUUCGGCUACGACGACGACCUGGAGCUCACCCAGGAGUACCUCUUCCCCCUAAUGAAAAUCCCUCCGGACUGCACCACAGAGCUAAACCACAAUGCAUACCUUUUCCUCCAGAGUGUCUUCGACAAGCAUGAUAAAGACAGAGACUGUGCCCUGUCUCCAGACGAGGUGAAAGACUUGUUUAAGAUCUUCCCCUACAUGCCCUGGGGCCCUGACGUCAACAACACAGUUAGUACCAACGAGCAGGGCUGGAUUACCUACCAGGGAUACCUCUCCCAGUGGACGCUAACGACCUACCUGGACGUACAGAGGUGUCUGGAGUACAUGGGCUACCUGGGCUACUCCAUCAUCUGCGAACAGGAGUCUCAGGCUGCAGCCAUCACAGUGACUCGUAACAAGCGCAUCGACCUGCAGAAGAAGCAGACCCAGCGCAGCGUGUUCCGCUGCAACAUCCUGGGAGGCCGGGGCAGCGGGAAAAGUGCCUUCCUGCAGGCCUUCCUGGGCCGGAACCUGCAGAAACAGAGGAAGGUCCGCGAGGACCACAAGUCACUCUACGCCAUCAGCACCACCUACGUCUACGGCCAGGAGAAGUACCUGCUGCUCCACGAGGUCAUGCCCGAUUUUGACUUCCUCUCCGAGACAGACCUGGCGUGUGACGUCGUGUGCUUGGUGUACGACGUCAACAACCCCCGCUCGUUCGAGUACUGCGCCAAAGUCUACAAGCAAUACUUCAUGGACAGCAAGACGCCGUGCAUGAUGAUCGCGGCCAAGUCGGACCUGCACGAGGCCCGCCAGCAUCACAUCCUGACGCCGCUGGAGUUCUGCCGCAAGCACAAGCUCCACCCCCCUCAGCCCUUCACCUGCAACACGGCGGAGGCACCCGGCAGAGACAUAUACACCAAACUCACCACCAUGGCCAUGUACCCCUACGCCCGCCUCCGCUGCAUGUGCUCCUGCAACAGGUGCACCUUCUGCAUCGCUCACAACAUCCUCAGGUCCCAGCUUCUGAAGGCAGUCAAGGCCAAACUCUACCGCGUGGUUCUCAACAGGUCCUCGUCUCUCUUCACCACAGUGGUUUAACCUAGACCGCCCCUCCCCUCCCUCCUUCUUCCUGUUCCGUCUCUCUCUCUCUCUCCCUCUGCCACCUCUCUGGUCGGGACAGGGACUGCUCACGGUAGCUGUCUGACAGUGGUGAAGGGGUCAGCGGUUGUCUCUUCAGGGGUCAGCCUGUCUGUGGAUCCACUCCCCAGAGCAGGGACGCUGCUGGGGAGUUUAGGCUGCAACUCUGAACGGCUGAGAGCCCAGCUCUUACCGUCCGACCACCGGAUCGGGUCUUUUUAUCGAGGCGGAUCGCGACCACACGAUGGGGGAGGAAGGGAAGGGUUUCGGGAAGGAGCACAGUGGUUAGAGCGCUUGUCUGUUGCCUCAAAGGUCGCCGGUUCACGUUCCCCCUGAACCCAACGGUGUUUCGCGUAAAAGCGAUUCAUGACAUGACAUAAGGCUUCGUUAGAUGGAACGCGUGUGUGCUUGGCAGCCCUGUGUGGUGGUUGGAGUUGUGACCUUGUCUCCUGGUCUGUGCCCCAGGCCCACCCAGCCCUCCCUGACCCAGAGCCUCGCCCUGAUCUCUGCCUCCACGCUGCGCCGCCUAACCCCCACACUCCUAACCAGGGAGGUACCCCGGGGCCCCGCGCCCACGUCCUGUUAAAGACCCGCCCUGUGUGUGCAUGUCUGCCGCCCGACGUCUGUCGUUCAUUGGCCGCGAGCGUGACCCUGACGAUAUCGGUGACGGAACGCUACUCAGACUCUGGACUAACCGCAUGGGUUUGUUCUGUUAAGUUGAGCACCUCACAAGUUGGAGGUUUAGACCAGCCUCGUUGUUGAAUGUGGUGUCGCCUGUCAUGCGAGGUGGAUAUGCAAGUAGGAGGCUAAAUCGGCGCUAACGACCGCAUUAUCUACAUGGCAAGGGUGAAAUGCGACCGGUGCUUGUGUUCUAGUUGGUUCCUUUGACGGUUUGCCAUCACGCCUUACAGAAGUCUGCCUGUCACGCCCUAGUCUUUACUAAUGGAGACGCAUAUCUAACAUAGAUCAAAAGUGGGCUGCUUGCAUGUUUAGUUUUUCCUCCUUUGCCUGUUUCGAUGCCUGUAGAUUGCCUGACUGGAUUUCUGUGGUGUUUUCAGUGUGAAACGAUUGGCGCACCUGAAGUCUGUACCCACAGUUGGACAACUUUUCAAAAUAGUAUAUUUCACAGGACUAGUCUUGUUCUUUCUAACAAAUACUCUCUUUCUGGAGCUCAAUCAGUAUACUGUAGCUCCAAUGCCUCCGUUUCCUCAAGCUCGAAAAACACGACUCCAUUAUUUGGUUCUACGUUCAAAGUUGUCUGGUGGGUUCAAACUGACGAAGGACACAUUGAAUGCUCGACUAAAACCUUUUUGUGGUUUCUCAUUCCCAUGAUCAGUAUCACACAUUGACGCUGUAUAAAUCCCCCGUUCAUUUCAUGCUACUGUGUUUUGUCUGUCUCGUUUUGUCUUUCGUCCUUCCACCCCACAGGUGUUCAUCCACUCGUGUCUGGCUGCCCCUCUUUCUCUUCCUGUUGCAUGUGUUUACCUUCUACUAACUCGCCCCGUUCCCUCAUGCAUGCGUUGUCUGCCUGUUUUCCUGCCUGCCUGCAUCUCUGUCCCUAACCCUCUGUCUGUACAAAGGGCUCUGUCCUCAUCCGUAGCUCAACAUCGCCCCCUAAGGGAGAAACGUUGUAGCCCAUUAAAAGCAGCAAAACGGUGUAAAAACCGCCGGGUCUGUAUGUGGUGGGAUUCAGCUAAUUGUAUCUCAGUGCAGGGUCUGAAUGGCCCACCGCUGUAAGCCUGACACGGCAUGGCGCGUGUACAAUAGAGGACUGUGUUGGAUGUGUGCACUGUAUAUUGGUUAGUGGCCAGGCUGACAAAGGGCUUUGGGGCUAGGUGUGCAGGGACCCUGGCACGCCCACUCUAACACUGGUGUCUGACAAUGCUGGACUAACUCUUUUGUUGUUCUUUGAACCUUUUUAGAAGAGGGGGUUAACAUGCCAGUCAUGGCACGUCACUAAAAUACAUUUGGCUAACCGCCUGACAGUUGGGGCCACGCACAGCACUCCACAGUACACAAUUUUAGUUUUGAAAUGAGUUGGCUGUUUCAGAAGUCUCUCUCCAAAAAAAGUUAAAAAGAGAAUACUCUGUCCAUGAGGCCCCACCAGUGUUCAGACUUGACUGCGGUGCGUGGUGGAGGGAGGCAACAUUUUGUAAGUCGUACGUACACGAUAGUGGGUCACCGUGUGCAUUGCACCCAGGUAUUGUUGGGUGGUGGUGUGGUUUCGUUUUGAGUGGAGGUGCUUCGUUCGUGUGUGUGUGUGUGCGCAAGCAUCGCGUGUGUGUGUGUGUGUGUGCCGUCCAAGGUUGUUGGGCAGCGUCAGGGGCCUGCCUGGCUGACGAGGAGCCCAUCAUCACUGCCGUAGAGGAGUCCAUCUACAUGCAGCUCUCUGUGGAGCUCUCUGUGCACCUGCACAGACACAUGGCUCAGGUGGACCUAAAGAGCUCUACGUUCUGGCUGAGGGCGAGCGUGGGCGCCACCGUGUGUGCGG